UCUGAAGAGAAAGGAUCAGGAAAUUCAUCCACCAUACAUUAACAUCUCAGGCCAAAAGACAAGCUAUGACUGUGCUAUUUAUGUAAUGAAGUGGCUUGAGAUAAUUCAGUCCGAAAACGUUAAAAGGGGGAAGUAUGAGUGGGACAACUGGACCCAGGACGACGUGGACCACUAUAGAGUAGAAUAUGCUUCCCGGAUUCUAUUCAAUGAAAUGAAUCAAGACAAAGGUGAAGCCAUUAGGGGAAGUGAUGCAAUAAGACUAUCCAAGCCAUUCUCAUUGUUAUUGAGUCCAUAUUGU